rnacentral:rRNA from 1 species
UUAAGUUAUUAAGGGCGCACGGUGGAUGCCUUGGCACUAGAAGCCGAUGAAGGACGUUACUAACGACGAUAUGCUUUGGGGAGCUGUAAGUAAGCUUUGAUCCAGAGAUUUCCGAAUGGGGAAACCCAGCAUGAGUUAUGUCAUGUUAUCGAUAUGUGAAUACAUAGCAUAUCAGAAGGCACACCCGGAGAACUGAAACAUCUUAGUACCCGGAGGAAGAGAAAGAAAAUUCGAUUCCCUUAGUAGCGGCGAGCGAAACGGGAAGAGCCCAAACCAAAAAGCUUGCUUGUUGGGGUUGUAGGACACUCUAUACGGAGUUACAAAGGACGACAUUAGACGAAUCAUCUGGAAAGAUGAAUCAAAGAAGGUAAUAAUCCUGUAGUCGAAAAUGUUGUCUCUCUUGAGUGGAUCCUGAGUACGACGGAGCACGUGAAAUUCCGUCGGAAUCUGGGAGGACCAUCUCCUAAGGCUAAAUACUCUCUAGUGACCGAUAGUGAACCAGUACCGUGAGGGAAAGGUGAAAAGCACCCCGGAAGGAGAGUGAAAUAGAACCUGAAACCGUGUGCUUACAAGUAGUCAGAGCCCGUUAAUGGGUGAUGGCGUGCCUUUUGUAGAAUGAACCGGCGAGUUACGAUUUGAUGCAAGGUUAAGCAGUAAAUGUGGAGCCGUAGCGAAAGCGAGUCUGAAUAGGGCGUUUAGUAUUUGGUCGUAGACCCGAAACCAGGUGAUCUACCCUUGGUCAGGUUGAAGUUCAGGUAACACUGAAUGGAGGACCGAACCGACUUACGUUGAAAAGUGAGCGGAUGAACUGAGGGUAGCGGAGAAAUUCCAAUCGAACCUGGAGAUAGCUGGUUCUCUCCGAAAUAGCUUUAGGGCUAGCCUCAAGUGAUGAUUAUUGGAGGUAGAGCACUGUUUGGACGAGGGGCCCCUCUCGGGUUACCGAAUUCAGACAAACUCCGAAUGCCAAUUAAUUUAACUUGGGAGUCAGAACAUGGGUGAUAAGGUCCGUGUUCGAAAGGGAAACAGCCCAGACCACCAGCUAAGGUCCCAAAAUAUAUGUUAAGUGGAAAAGGAUGUGGCGUUGCCCAGACAACUAGGAUGUUGGCUUAGAAGCAGCCAUCAUUUAAAGAGUGCGUAAUAGCUCACUAGUCGAGUGACACUGCGCCGAAAAUGUACCGGGGCUAAACAUAUUACCGAAGCUGUGGAUUGUCCUUUGGACAAUGGUAGGAGAGCGUUCUAAGGGCGUUGAAGCAUGAUCGUAAGGACAUGUGGAGCGCUUAGAAGUGAGAAUGCCGGUGUGAGUAGCGAAAGACGGGUGAGAAUCCCGUCCACCGAUUGACUAAGGUUUCCAGAGGAAGGCUCGUCCGCUCUGGGUUAGUCGGGUCCUAAGCUGAGGCCGACAGGCGUAGGCGAUGGAUAACAGGUUGAUAUUCCUGUACCACCUAUAAUCGUUUUAAUCGAUGGGGGGACGCAGUAGGAUAGGCGAAGCGUGCGAUUGGAUUGCACGUCUAAGCAGUAAGGCUGAGUAUUAGGCAAAUCCGGUACUCGUUAAGGCUGAGCUGUGAUGGGGAGAAGACAUUGAGUCUUCGAGUCGUUGAUUUCACACUGCCGAGAAAAGCCUCUAGAUAGAAAAUAGGUGCCCGUACCGCAAACCGACACAGGUAGUCAAGAUGAGAAUUCUAAGGUGAGCGAGCGAACUCUCGUUAAGGAACUCGGCAAAAUGACCCCGUAACUUCGGGAGAAGGGGUGCUCUUUAGGGUUAACGCCCAGAAGAGCCGCAGUGAAUAGGCCCAAGCGACUGUUUAUCAAAAACACAGGUCUCUGCUAAACCGUAAGGUGAUGUAUAGGGGCUGACGCCUGCCCGGUGCUGGAAGGUUAAGAGGAGUGGUUAGCUUCUGCGAAGCUACGAAUCGAAGCCCCAGUAAACGGCGGCCGUAACUAUAACGGUCCUAAGGUAGCGAAAUUCCUUGUCGGGUAAGUUCCGACCCGCACGAAAGGCGUAACGAUUUGGGCACUGUCUCAACGAGAGACUCGGUGAAAUCAUAGUACCUGUGAAGAUGCAGGUUACCCGCGACAGGACGGAAAGACCCCGUGGAGCUUUACUGUAGCCUGAUAUUGAAAUUCGGCACAGCUUGUACAGGAUAGGUAGGAGCCUUUGAAACGUGAGCGCUAGCUUACGUGGAGGCGCUGGUGGGAUACUACCCUAGCUGUGUUGGCUUUCUAACCCGCACCACUUAUCGUGGUGGGAGACAGUGUCAGGCGGGCAGUUUGACUGGGGCGGUCGCCUCCUAAAAGGUAAC